AAUAUAGUUAAUAUUUUUUUGUUAAUUUUUAAUGUAUUUAAUAUGUAGGUAUGAGAGUUUUAUGGUUUAAUGCAUUUAAUACAUGCAAAAACUCAAGUCUCCUUUACAUAUAUAUAUAUAUAUAGAUUGUACGUAACGGAGUUUGAUUUCAUGGGUUUGGAGAAUUUACAAUUAUCACUUUUUCUUUAAUGAAUGGGGAUGACCAUUCAUUAAUGGAUUUACGGAUUCUCCAGGACGGGAAGACAUUUUGGUUUUUGAAGGUACUUUUCAAGCUGACAGCCAUGCUUCAACGCUCUAAGAUUAUAUUAAGUGAGAGCAGGAAGACUUUGUGAAAGAAAUUUGUUGAAAUAGAGUCUGGGUGAAUUUAAUGUGGCUGUUCUUGUACGUGGAAAAAAGAAAGAAGUUGGGGACUUGAAUUCAAAGGUUGAAUUGAUUAUUGGUGAAAGAGAUGAAACAUGGUGGGGCAGUGCUCUAGAAAUAGGGAAGAAAGCAGAGAGGAGUUAUCCAAAUAUUGGGGAUUUAUAUAAGUCACACCUUUUCUUGGCCACCAUCACUCAGUGCUAUGCGCUCCUUAAUAGGACAAAAGAACAGAGUGAUAAUAAGUUGGAUUUGGCUGCAUUUCAUGGACUUUUAUGUGUUGUUUUUACGGGAGCUUUUUAUUUUUUUCUCUGGCCUUUCAGCUUUGGCCUAACUAUACAGGACACCAUUGUUUGGUGUAUACACGUGUGAUGGAAACACAUGUGUGUGUAUAUAUAUAUUGGUUUAUACUUUGAAUUUGUUUAUUUGUUUUCAUGAGAGGAGGACCCCUUUACAUAGUGGCCAAAUUGGCUGUAAAAAUGGGGUAAAAGGUCUUUGGGGCCUUUUCCCUGUCACUACACCACAAAAAGGAUUAAGUAGUGGCUCAAAGGUAGCAAUUUUCAAAAAGCCACUACCUUAUCAUGUUUUUUUAUUUUAAUAAUUAGUGUGUAAGGGUUAAGGUAGUGGUUAAAAAAUCAACCGCAACCUUUAGGUAGGCAUGUGUAGUGGGCUAACUAACAAAACAUAGAUGGUGGGCUUUGGCACCAGGUAAAAAAUAAACCGCUACCAUAAAAUCGCUACCUAAGACUGAUAUUUUGAAAGAAAAAAAAAACAAGUUGAAGGUUUCUCAAACAGAUCGUGUCGCGCCCUAGCUGCUCCACAUCUUAGACGUGCACGGUUCUUUUCACUUCCAUUCUUCUUCUGCUCCGUACUCCGUCCAUUCGCUCCUUGCUGUUGCCGCCGUUGUUGCACGGUUUGUGGUUGCUUCUACCGUGGUUGCUGGAAGCUUGUUUCGAUCUCUGCCGUACUUCGCCUUUUGCUGUCAUUCGCAUUUUGCUGCUGCUGCCAUCGUUGUGCCAUUCAUCGUUGAUGUUGUCGUCUUCCAUCAUCGUUGUGUCAUUCAUUGUUGCUGCUGCCUUCUUCGCGCCCUAAUCCAGGUUUAUGGAGAUAGUGAAGUCUUUUGAAUUUUGAUGAGCAAGCUAUUGGAGAAUUUAGUGGUCUUUUUUUUUAUGGUCUUUUUUUUUUAUCGUACUUACUCUUUCAUGAUUAUAUGUGUAGGCGUAUACACUUAAUAUGUAUGUUUAUUUUAGCCUAUUUUGUUUGGCAACCUUAAAAAAUGAACUAUGUCAUGUUUUAAUUGUAUUUCAUUCUAGCAAAUAUUAUUACAUGAUAAUCAAGAUAAUUGGGAACUAUGUAAAUUUUGGUUUGGAAAAAUAUUUAGCAUGUUUCUUUAGCAAGCAA